UAGGGAAUCUUGCGCAAUGGGCGAAAGCCUGACGCAGCCAUGCCGCGUGAAUGAUGAAGGUCUUAGGAUUGUAAAAUUCUUUCACCGGGGAAGAUAAUGACGGUACCCGGAGAAGAAGCCCCGGCUAACUUCGUGCCAGCAGCCGCGGUAAUACGAAGGGGGCUAGCGUUGCUCGGAAUUACUGGGCGUAAAGGGCGCGUAGGCGGAUGUUUAAGUCGGGGGUGAAAGCCCGGGGCUCAACCUCGGAAUUGCCUUCGAUACUGGACAUCUUGAGUACGGGAGAGGUGAGUGGAACUCCGAGUGUAGAGGUGAAAUUCGUAGAUAUUCGGAAGAACACCAGUGGCGAAGGCGACUCACUGGCCCGUUACUGACGCUGAGGCGCGAAAGCGUGGGGAGCAAACAGGAUUAGAUACCCUGGUAGUCCACGCCGUAAACGAUGAGUGCUAGUUGUCGGCAUGCAUGCAUGUCGGUGACGCAGCUAACGCAUUAAGCACUCCGCCUGGGGAGUACGGUCGCAAGAUUAAAACUCAAAGGAAUUGACGGGGUCAUAGCUGUUUCCU
rnacentral:rRNA from 1 species